rnacentral:rRNA from 1 species
AGAUUGAACGCUGGCGGCAGGCCUAACACAUGCAAGUCGAGCGGUAGAGAGGUGCUUGCAUCUCUUGAGAGCGGCGGACGGGUGAGUAAUGCCUAGGAAUCUGCCUAGUGGUGGGGGAUAACGUUCGGAAACGGACGCUAAUACCGCAUACGUCCUACGGGAGAAAGCGGGGGACCUUCGGGCCUCGCGCCAUUAGAUGAGCCUAGGUCGGAUUAGCUAGUUGGUGAGGUAAUGGCUCACCAAGGCGACGAUCCGUAACUGGUCUGAGAGGAUGAUCAGUCACACUGGAACUGAGACACGGUCCAGACCUCCGUACGGGGAGCAGCAGGUGGGGAAUAGUUGGACAAGUGGGGA